UGAGCUAAUAGGAUUAUCCAAGCAAGCAAUAUCUGUGUGUGUGCCUAGCAACCAAGAACCUCGAGGGUAGUACAAUUCGGAGCACCAUUUAAUCAAGGCUGCACUGAAGCAUGAGACACUUUGCCCAUAAUGUGCGUGGCUGUUUGCUUCCGUGCCGGAAUCUCGCGGCCUGAUUCGCCGUGACCAAGCGUGCAUUUUGUGUGAACUUGAAACAAAAUAAAAUGGACCAGCGGGGCUGGUUACGGAGAGUAUUGGUUCCGUAAUAUUUAGUCGCAGCAAGGUGGUGGUGAUGCUUUUCGAAGGGCAGGAGGGCGCAUUUGCCUUUGGUCACGUCUCUGUUUCGUUUCCGCCACACGCUGAUGGUGAUGGCCGUGGUCCCGGUUCGCAUUUUCAAUUCAUCUAGCGUCGAUCUUGGACAACAGAGUAGCAGAUGAGACUGAGGAAGGCAAAAAAACACAAACGCUCUAAACAAAUAAAGGCCCCGAUCAGCGCGGCAUGACUUUUUAA